GGGCCGCUAGCUCAGUCGGUAGAGCACUGGACUUUUAAUCCAGGUGUCUCGAGUUCGAACCUCGAGCGGCUCA
rnacentral:tRNA from 1 species